UACGGGGGGGGCAAGCGUUGUUCGGAAUUACUGGGCGUAAAGGGCGCGUAGGCGGCCUGCUAAGUCACACGUGAAAUCCCCCGGCUCAACCGGGGAACUGCGUGUGAUACUGGCGGGCUUGAAUUCGGGAGAGGGAUGUGGAAUUCCAGGUGUAGCGGUGAAAUGCGUAGAUAUCUGGAGGAACACCGGUGGCGAAGGCGGCAUCCUGGACCGAUAUUGACGCUGAUGCGCGAAAGCCAGGGGAGCAAACGGG
rnacentral:rRNA from 1 species